ACGUUCACUUAUCCGAACGUUGCAUCCAAACAGGGCCUUAAGCUUCGGUUACGUGGUUGAAUUGAGAUCGUGAUCGAAACGCAUCGAACCACCAUGGGAGACGGCACUGCCACCACCGGCGGCAACCGGUCGAACAGCAAUAGCAACAAGCCGGAGUGGCUUCAGCAGUAUGAUCUGAUAGGGAAGAUCGGAGAAGGCACGUACGGUCUCGUCUUCCUCGCUCGAAUCAAGUCUUCUACUAAUCGCGGAAAAUCCAUCGCCAUCAAGAAAUUCAAACAAUCUAAGGAUGGUGACGGUGUCUCUCCCACCGCUAUCCGUGAAAUCAUGUUACUCAGGGAGAUAGCGCACGAUAACGUUGUGAAACUUGUGAAUGUCCACAUCAAUCAUGCAGACAUGUCUCUGUAUCUAGCUUUUGAUUAUGCAGAACAUGAUCUUUAUGAAAUAAUAAGACAUCACAGGGACAAAGUCAGCCAACCCAUAAACCAGUAUACUGUUAAAUCGUUACUCUGGCAGCUGCUCAAUGGACUAAACUAUCUGCACAGUAAUUGGAUAAUACAUAGAGAUUUAAAGCCGUCAAAUAUAUUGGCUAUGGGUGAUGGGGAGGAACAUGGGGUUGUUAAAAUUGCUGACUUUGGACUUGCAAGGAUUUAUCAGGCCCCUUUGAAGCCAUUAUCUGAAAAUGGGGUAGUUGUAACCAUUUGGUAUCGUGCACCUGAGCUGCUUCUUGGAGCAAAACAUUAUACCAGUGCUGUUGGUAUCCUUUAAUUUAAGUUAUAGAUAUUGAAAGAUUUGCCAGUCAAAUAAUUGCAACUGUGCCAGUGAAAAAAAAAGUUGAUGGUUAACUUCAGGGUUAUACAUGUGUGAAGUUAUUAAUAUUUCAUGGGUAUUUCUUGAGUCUUUUAACCUAUAUACCGACAAGAUGCUUGGUACUUUUGCUGCUGUUGCUAAUUUGACUUGAGGUUGUUUCUUGAAUAAGUUAUUGCUGUCAACGAAUCUAUGUCAAAGUAUUGAGGGUCUACAAGAAAUGUUGGCCUGGUAUAACUGAAUUUUGAAAAUUUGAAUCUAUCCAUGUGGAUGUUGGGGAGUGUGGUACUCACAAUCCAUAGAUAGGCUUAUCAACCUUGUAUAAUAAAUAAAUGUGUUUGUAUGAUCUAAUUUGAAAAUUGGUCCGAUUAUGUUUUCUUAAAUAGACACUUAGACAUGUGGGCUGUGGGCUGCAUUUUUGCUGAGUUGUUGACCUUGAAGCCACUAUUUCAAGGUGCAGAAGUCAAAGCUACACCAAAUCCCUUUCAGCUCGAUCAACUUGACAAGAUAUUCAAGGUUUUAGACCUACAUCAGUGGACAUUGUUACUGUGCCAGGCCAUCCAACAUUAGAAAAGUGGCCUUCCUUAGCAAAUCUUCCCCAUUGGCAACAAGAUACGCAACAUAUACAGGGACACAAAUAUGAGAACGCCAGCCUCUAUAAUGUUGUACACCUAUCUCCAAAAAGUCCUGCAUAUGACCUCUUGUCAAAGAUGCUUGAAUAUGAUCCACGAAAGCGCAUAACAGCAGCACAAGCUUUAGAGCAUGAGUAUUUCAAAAUUGAACCACUACCUGGGCGGAAUGCACUUGUACCCUGCCAACCUGGAGAGACAUUUGUGAGUUAUCCCACACGUCCAGUGGACACAACAACUGAUUUUGAAGGGACAACUAACAUGCAACCUUCACAGCCGGUUACAUCUGGAGCUGCAGUUUCGGGGAGCAUGCCUGGUGGUCAUGCAUCGAAUAGAUCUGUUCCUCGGCCAAUGAAUGUUGUUGGCAUGCAAAGAGUACCUCAUCAGGCAAUGCAAGCUUAUAAUCUCACAUCUCAGGCAGGGAUGGGUGGUGGAAUGAAUCCCAGUGGUAUCCCAGUGCAACGAGGUGUUCCACAGGCACAUCAGCAACAGUUGAGAAGAAAAGAUCAAAUGGGGAUGCCAGGAUAUCCUCCACAGCAGAAGUCAAGACGUAUAUAAGGUAAAUGCCUUUGUUUCACCAAGUAUUUAGUGGCAAUGGUGGUGGCUGUCAUAGAGACAAACUUGAACUGCAUUGAUCUGAAAAAUCAGGAGUGUCACUGCUUUUCUCAUGUUGUGUGAGCAAUUUGAAGGUGCAAUUGGGAUUCGUGAGAUUUCUAUGUUAAGUUUUGACUUAAACAUGGCAUUCUUAUAUUCUCGUACUAAGGUUCUUGCAAAUUAUUUAACAAACUCCAAAUCGGUUAUCACUUGAUUAACCUCUUUAAAUAGUCUCUCGUCAUAUGUGGGUUGUGGCAGACAUCAAAUUGGUAUAAUUUAACGAAAUUUAUCCUCCAUUGUUCAACCUAUUAGCAUAUUUGAACUAGUAGUUGGUUGACUCUUCUAUAUUUGCGAUAAAGCUGAAAUACCAUGUCCCAUGGUUAGGUUCUGCUGGUAGAGAUAAAGUGAAGAUAGAUUUGGAGUCAACACUAGGGAACUUGGGCUUAUUCCAGACAAGUCAUGACUCCCAAGUUCAGAUGGUUUGCCUUGUGCUUGCGGACCUCACUGUUUCUAUUUCUGUCAAAGGUUUAUUGCGUUGGGCGCUGGAAAUUGGAUGCUAUGCAUGCUAUGUUUUGCUGGGACACCAGUGGAGCCCUUGGAAGGGAAUAAAAAUAGGAAUGGGUGAACUACUGGAGGCACUUAUAUAUAUCACGUUUUACCUGUACGGUUUUCUUGUAUUCUCACAACUGUUAGGCUGUAUAAAAUGUUAGACAGAGUAGGUUUUUCUCCAAAAUUAAACUUUUAGUGAUUAAACUGAUAAUUUGUAGCUAUGUUGUACACGUUGUGGAAUAAUGCAUAACUUAGUGGAAGAUAGUUACACGUCACUCGUAUGAAUGAGGUGAUCAUUAUCUUUUUC